rnacentral:rRNA from 1 species
GACGAACGCUGGCGGCGUGCCUAACACAUGCAAGUCGAACGAAGCAGUUCCGAACGGAGAUUCGUCAAAGUUUGGGAUUGACUUAGUGGCGGACGGGUGAGUAAUGCAUGAGCAACCUGCCCUGCAGAGGGGGACAACAGUUGGAAACGACUGCUAAUACCGCAUAGGCGCACGGUACCGCAUGGUACAGUGUGAAAAACUCCGGUGGUGUAAGAUGGGCCCGCGUCUGAUUAGGUAGUUGGCGGGGUAACGGCCCACCAAGCCGACGAUCAGUAGCCGACCUGAGAGGGUGACCGGCCACAUUGGGACUGAGACACGGCCCAGACUCCUACGGGAGGCAGCAGUGGGGAAUAUUGCACAAUGGAGGAAACUCUGAUGCAGCGACGCCGCGUGAGCGAUGAAGUAUUUCGGUAUGUAAAGCUCUAUCAGCAGGGAAGAUAAUGACGGUACCUGACUAAGAAGCUCCGGCUAAAUACGUGCCAGCAGCCGACGG